rnacentral:rRNA from 1 species
GACGAACGCUGGCGGCGUGCUUGACACAUGCAAGUCGAACGAUGACGACCGAGCUUGCUCGGUCUGAUUAGCGGCGAACGGGUGAGUAACACGUGAGCAACCUGCCCUUCACUCUGGGAUAACCUCGCGAAAUCGGGGCUAAUACCGUAUAUCAGCUCCUGUCCCAUGGCGGGUGUUGGAACUUUUUUCGGUGCAGGAUGGGCUCGCGGCCUAUCAGUUUGUUUGUGUGGUAGUGGCUCACCAAGGCGAUGACGGGUAGCCGGCCUGAGAGGGCGACCGGCCACACUGGGACUGAGACACGGCCCAGACUCCUACGGGAGGCAGCAGUGGGGAAUAUUGCACAAUGGGCGAAAGCCUGAUGCAGCGACGCCGCGUGAGGGAUGACGGCCUUCGGGUUGUAAACCUCUUUCAGCAGGGAAGAAGCGAAAGUGACGGUACCUGCAGAAGAAGCGCCGGCUAACUACGUG